GUGAAUCAUCAAAUCUUUGAACGCAAAUUGCACUCUCUUCGGAGAGUAUGCCUGUUUGAGGGUCAGCCUAAAAAAAAUCGACAUAGUUGCUGUUGCGCGGUGACAUUCGUCGGAAAUUGGGUCAUCUUAUACCUUUGGGUUUAAGCGGCUUCAGAUUUUCUUUACGAUUCCACGACCGUUUCUACACUUUUAUUUUCUUAUACGUUUAAGGUAUCGAACUUUUUUUGACGUGGCCUUUCC
rnacentral:misc_RNA from 1 species